rnacentral:rRNA from 1 species
UGAGAGAGGAUCUUGAGUGUUUUUGUUAAUACAAAAACUUUUGCGUACUUUAAAAAGGUACGAGAAUAAGGGCUGGGCAAGAUCGGUGCCAGCAGCCGCGGUAAUCCCGACGGCCCAAGUGGGACUCACAAUUAUUGGGUCUAAAACAUUCGUAGCCGGCUUUUCAAGUUCUAUGUUAAAUUGCAAGGCUUAACCUUGCAGCUGCAUAGAAUACUGGGAGGCUAGGGACUGGGAGACGUAAUGAGUACAUCGAGGGGAGUAGUAAAAUAUGUUAAUCCUCGCUGGACUAACAAUGGCGAAGGCACGUUACGAGAACAGAUCCGACGGUGAGGAAUGAAGGCCAGGGGCGCAAAUUGGAUUAGAUACCCAAGUAGUCCUGGCAGUAAACCCUGCAUACUAAACAUUGUGAUCUCCUCGAGAGAUUGCAGUGCUGAAGCGAAGGCGGAAGUAUGCUACCUGGGGAGUAUAGUCGCAAGAUCGAAACUUAAAGGAAUUGGCGGGGGAGCACUACAACGGGUGAUCGCGUGCGGUUUAAUUAGAUUCUACACCGUGAACCUUACCAGGAUCGACUGCAGAAUGAAGGUCAGUCUGAAGGGCUUACCUGACACGCAGAGAGGGAGUGCAUGGCCGUCGUCAGCCUGUGUCGUGAGAUGAUCUGUUAAAUCAGUUAACAGGCGAGACCCGCGUGCGUUGUUGCUAACCUGUAUGGAAGCACACUACGCAGACUGCUUCAGUAAUGAAGAGGAAGGUGCGGGCUACGAUAGGUGAGUACGCUCCGAAUACCCUGGGCUACACGCGCGCGUCAAUGGCGAUAACAAUGAGAUGCAAUGCCGAAAGGUAAAGCUAACCCCCUAAAUAUCGUCUUAGUCCCGAUUGAGCCUUGAAACCCAGGCUCAUGACGUUGGAAUCCGUAGUAAUCGGACGUUAUCAGCGUCCGGUGAAUAAUGUCCCUG